rnacentral:misc_RNA from 1 species
CAACAAUCCACAUCACAAACAGACCAUAAGUUAAAUUUCCAAGAGUUGUAGCACUGAUGAAACAAAAGAAACAGCAUCUAGUUACCACCCACUUGCCUCUUCCAGGAAUCCUCCACUAUCAGUUCAUCCACCCCCCAAUCCUCAUAACUCCCAUCAGGAAGAUACCUACGAAUUGUAAAAGGUAUCUUGCGUUGCCGAAGCUCCUUCAUCGCAAUCUCCAACGGAUCAGACUCUCCCUCCAGUUCAACCAUCACGGGUGCAUUCAUGCUUAUUUGUAGAGCACGGGUACCCAAAAUUCUUGCCCUCUCAUACUUGGUCAUGUAUUUAGAUGUUUUACGAGGUCGUUCUAUUGGUGGCUCCUCCUUGUCUUCGCCCUCGCCUACAGGCACAUCAGCAACAUCUUCAUUGUUUUCUGCGUCCUCUUCCUCAAUCCCGUCCUCGAUCUCAGGCUCCG